rnacentral:rRNA from 1 species
UGGCUAACUCCUACGGGAGGCAGCAGUGGGGAAUAUUGGACAAUGGGCGCAAGCCUGAUCCAGCCAUGCCGCGUGAGUGAUGAAGGCCUUAGGGUUGUAAAGCUCUUUUGUCCGGGACGAUAAUGACGGUACCGGAAGAAUAAGCCCCGGCUAACUUCGUGCUAGCAGCCGCGGUAAUACGAAGGGGGCUAGCGUUGCUCGGAAUCACUGGGCGUAAAGGGCGCGUAGGCGGCCAUUCAAGUCGGGGGUGAAAGCCUGUGGCUCAACCACAGAAUUGCCUUCGAUACUGUUUGGCUUGAGUGUGGUAGAGGUCGGUGGAACUGCGAGUGUAGAGGUGAAAUUCGUAGAUAUUCGCAAGAACACCAGUGGCGAAGGCGGCCGACUGGACCAUUACUGACGCUGAGGCGCGAAAGCGUGGGGAGCAAACAGGAUUAGAUACCCGGGUAGUCCAGCUGG